rnacentral:rRNA from 1 species
CUACGUGCCAGCAGCCGCGGUAAUACGUAGGGGGCAAGCGUUAUCCGGAUUCAUUGGGCGUAAAGCGCUCGUAGGCGGUCUGUUAGGUCGGGAGUUAAAUCCGGGGGCUCAACCCCCGUUCGCUCCCGAUACCGGCAGACUUGAGUUUGGUAGGGGAAGGUGGAAUUCCUAGUGUAGCGGUGGAAUGCGCAGAUAUUAGGAAGAACACCAGUGGCGAAGGCGGCCUUCUGGGCCAUAACUGACGCUGAGGAGCGAAAGCUAGGGGAGCAAACAGGAUUAGAUACCCUGGUAGUCCUAGCCGUAAACGAUGGACACUAGGUGUGGGGGAAUAUUUCUUCCGUGCCGCAGCUAACGCAUUAAGUGUCCCGCCUGGGGAGUACGGCCGCAAGGCUAAAACUCAAAGGAAUUGACGGGGGCCCGCACAAGCAGCGGAGCAUGUGGUUUAAUUCGAAGCAACGCGAAGAACCUUACCAAAUCUUGACAUCC